UUGGUUUGUUUUAAGUCAAACUUAUCCAACUUUGACUAAGUUUAUUAAAAAUAUAAUAAUAUAUAUACUACCAAAUAUAUGCACUAUCAAAAAUAUAUUCUAUGGUGGAUUCAACGAAAUAAAUUUGGUAUUGUAAAUAUUGUUAUAUCUUUCUAUAAACUUGAUCAAAGUUGAGAAAGUUUGACUUAGGAGAAACCAAA
rnacentral:pre_miRNA from 1 species